rnacentral:rRNA from 1 species
GACGAACGCUAGCUACAGGCUUAACACAUGCAAGUCGAGGGGAAACGAUAUUGGAAGCUUGCUUCCGAUAGGCGUCGACCGGCGCACGGGUGAGUAACGCGUAUCCAACCUGCCCACCACUUGGGGAUAACCUUGCGAAAGUAAGACUAAUACCCAAUGAUAUCUCAAGAAGACAUCUGAAUGAGAUUAAAGAUUUAUCGGUGAUGGAUGGGGAUGCGUCUGAUUAGCUUGUUGGCGGGGUAACGGCCCACCAAGGCGACGAUCAGUAGGGGUUCUGAGAGGAAGGUCCCCCACAUUGGAACUGAGACACGGUCCAAGCUCCUACGGGAGGCAGCAGUGAGGAAUAUUGGUCAAUGGGCGAGAGCCUGAACCAGCCAAGUAGCGUGCAGGAUGACGGCCCUAUGGGUUGUAAACUGCUUUUAUAAGGGAAUAAAGUGAGCCUCGUGAGGCUUUUUGCAUGUACCUUAUGAAUAAGGACCGGCUAAUUCCGUGCCAGCCGCCGCAGUAA